rnacentral:rRNA from 1 species
CCUACGGGUGGCAGCAGUGAGGAAUAUUGGUCAAUGGACGCAAGUCUGAACCAGCCAUGCAGCGUGCAGGAUGACUGCUCUAUGAGUUGUAAACUUCUUUUAUACGAGGAUAAACGCAGAUACGCGUAUCUGUCUGAAAGUAUCUUAUGAAUAAGGAUCGGCUAACUCCGUGCCAGCAGCCGCGGUAAUACGGAGGAUUCAAGCGUUAUCCGGAUUUAUUGGGUUUAAAGGGUGCGUAGGCGGUCGGAUAAGUUAGAGGUGAAAUCCCGAGGCUCAACUUCGGAAUUGCAUUUGAUACUGGUAGGCUAGAGAGUAGUUGCGGUAGGCGGAAUGUAUGGUGUAGCGGUGAAAUGCUUAGAGAUCAUACAGAACACCGAUUGCGAAGGCAGCUUACCAAGCUACUACUGACGUUGAGGCACGAAAGUGUGGGGAGCAAACAGGAUUAGAUACCCUGGUAGUC